UGAGUGCUAGUUUAGCGUGUAAGACGUGACUGAAAACCGUAAUCUAUUAUAUUUUAAUUCAAGUGCAAAAAGUAUUAAAAAUAAAUUGAAAUUUAAGUUCUCAAGAUGAAUGUGCAAGAACUUACAAUUUUCACUGGAAUUACCCACGCAAUUAAUCAGUUCAUAACGCUGGAUUCGAAAGAUCGCGAGGAGUACAUGAAACACUGUAAUGUUGUUAGGCAAUCCAUUGAUACCGAGUUGAAGAACAACAGUGAUUUGUACAAGAAAAUAAGCAAUGGAUUUGAGUAUGCGGGAAGUUAUCGGGACAACUUGAAGGUAUCGAAGCCUAAUGAGUAUGAUUUGAUCAUGAAAAUGAAACUUCCUUUGUCCCCGGAUAAAGUCAUCGUAAAACCUGAUAAGGCGGGAUAUCUGACAAUCAAUGUUAAGAAUUUGCUAGAAGAAAUGGCAAAAAUACCAACCAUGACUGAAGCUCAUAAAGAGUUGGCCAAAAUGACGGACAAAUUUGGCUAUUUGCUUCAGAAUAAGUGGCUAGCGUGGUUGGAAAGCAAAAUUCAUAAUUCUGUCACGAGCGUCAAGCAACUCUUAGCAUCUGAAUACACGUUAAAACAUGAGAAACAUGGACCAGCGCAAACCCUUAAUGUGACUUCGAAGAGAGAUUCUCAUAUAUCCUUCAGUAUUGACUUCGUCUUCGGCAUUACCUUUGAUCUCAGCAAAUGGAUUGCAACACGUAAGCCCCCAAAACUUGCUAAAGAGGAGGACAAGUUCUACAUGGCCAUUCCAAAACCAAAUAAAUUAAAUCCUGGUGAGGAGAACCGUUUGUGGAUAGCGAGUUAUCCCGCACAAGAUAAUGUUAUUAUCCAUAAUAAAAAUCGCCUCAAAGACGCCAUUCGGUUCAUCAAGAAAAUCCGAGACACUCAAGUUCUGCCGAAUCUAAAAAGCUACUAUAUAAAAACCGUUGUUAUGUUGGAAACUGACAAAAGACCUGAUUCGUACUGGAACUCUUCUUUUGACAUCGUACUUAAGGAUAUGCUGAAUGCUACCAUUCAACGUUUCGAAGAAAAGAAGAUUCCGUCGUAUUGGAAUAAGAAUUUUAAUAUUAUCGAAGGCUUAAACGACGGUCAACGACAAGCCAUAAUUUCAAAGUUGAAGAAAGUGAAACGAACUUGGGAUACUGUUGUCGUCAAAGAAAAGAUAAUGGAAACCAUUCUAUCUCCGCAUGAAGUUGAAAUCCUUUCGACAACCAUCAACGUGUGUGGAAAAAUAUAAUAAUGAAACAAUCAAGUACCUGCAUAAUCAACGAAAGGACUUUAAUUUGCCAUAUUAUUUUAUCUUAUCUUAUCAGGAUCUGAGACAGGACCCAUUUUUGCAGUUCCCACUGGGUGAUAAUUGGUUAAGACAAGAUAUCGACAGUAACAUGCCCAGUAUUCGUCGCUGUUAAAUUCCAUGGCAUCACAUUCCGCAAUGGGAAUAGUUCAGCGCUUUUUAACAAAAUUUCUCCUUUA